rnacentral:rRNA from 1 species
CAGUCGCCGCGGGAAUACAGAGGGUGCGAGCGUUAAUCGGAUUUACUGGGCGUAAAGCGUGCGUAGGCGGCUUUUUAAGUCGGAUGUGAAAUCCCUGAGCUUAACUUAGGAAUUGCAUUCGAUACUGGGAAGCUAGAGUAUGGGAGAGGAUGGUAGAAUUCCAGGUGUAGCGGUGAAAUGCGUAGAGAUCUGGAGGAAUACCGAUGGCGAAGGCAGCCAUCUGGCCUAAUACUGACGCUGAGGUACGAAAGCGUGGGGAGCAAACAGGAUUAGAUACCCCUGUAGUCCCUGUCUCUUAUAC